rnacentral:rRNA from 1 species
CUUGUACCUUUUGCAUCAUGAUUUAGCCAGCAACCCAUAAGCAAAGAGACCUUUAGUUUAAAUCCCCGAAACCAAGUGAGCUACCCCGGGACAGCUUUAUAGAGCCAACCCGUCUCUGUGGCAAAAGAGUGGGAAGAGCCCCGGGUAGAGGUGACAGACCUACCGAACUUGGUGAUAGCUGGUUGCCUAAGAAAUGAAUAGAAGUUCAGCCUCGUGCCCCUCUGCCCAAACAAGAAACAUCUGCAACAAGCACAAGAGAAAAACACGAGAGUUAGUUAAAAGGGGUACAGCCCUUUUAACCCAGGAUACAACCUUAAGCAGAAGGAUAAGGAUCACACUUUUUAAAACAUAGUCGUCACAGUGGGCCUAAAAGCAGCCAUCUGACUAGAAAGCGUUAAAGCUCAAACGACAAGACCUUUAUUAUACUGAUAAACAAUCCAAUUCCCCUAAAAAUAUUAGGCUAUUCCAUGCCAACAUGGAAGAGACCAUGCUAAAAUGAGUAACAAGAGAAUUAAUUCUCUCCAAGCACAAGUGUACCCCAGAUCGGACCACCCACUGGGAACUAACGAACCCAAAAAAAGAGUGUAAUGUGAAAUACAAAUAAAACCAAGAAACCCCACAACACAACAAUCGUUAACCUCACACUAGAGUGCCCCAAGGAAAGACAAAAAGAUAGGGAAGGAACUCGGCAAACACAAGCCUCGCCUGUUUACCAAAAACAUCGCCU